rnacentral:rRNA from 1 species
CUACGGGCUGCUGCAGUGAGGAAUAUUGCGCAAUGGGGGCAACCCUGACGCAGCGACGCCGCGUGAGUGAGGAAGGCCUUCGGGUCGUAAAGCUCUGUCAAGAGGAAAGAAGUGCAUGGUGGUUAAUACCCAUCAUGUUUGACGGUACCUCUAAAGGAAGCACCGGCUAACUCCGUGCCAGCAGCCGCGGUAAUACGGAGGGUGCAAGCGUUGUUCGGAAUCACUGGGCGUAAAGGGCGCGCAGGCGGCCUGGUAAGUCAGAUGUGAAAGCCCACGGCUUAACCGUGGAAGUGCAUUUGGAACUGUCAGGCUUGAGUACCAGAGGGGAAAGUGGAAUUCCCGGUGUAGAGGUGAAAUUCGUAGAUAUCGGGAGGAAUACCGGUGGCGAAGGCGACUUUCUGGCUGAGUACUGACGCUGAGGCGCGAAAGCGUGGGGAGCAAACAGGAUUAGAUACCUUGUAGUC